CGGGCCAUAAUGGGGCCAGUCUCCCCAAGGGGGCCACAUUCCAGAGAAUCUCCAGUCCCCAAGGCUUAGAACAUUGGACAGCCUAACUGAAGACUCUGAGAGAACCUCAAGGAUUUAGAUCAUUUUCAUCUUAGCAGAGAGAGGAAGAGAAAGAACCAGCCAGAUGCUUCAAGCAUGCAAGUCCUGCACCCCACCACUGAACUAACUCUCUGGCCACUAGAAUCCUCUUUAAAAGAAAAGAGUUAAGGGGGACUGGGCAUAAACACUUAGUACUAUUUUUAUCUCUGUUUUUUUUUUUCUUGGAUGUGGAUGAUGCCUAUGAAACAUUGUUGAGUUAAAAUAAAAAGCCAC